rnacentral:misc_RNA from 1 species
AAACCUUAAAAAUAAUUUUUGAAAUUCAAGGUUCUAAUGCCCAAUAAUCACGCCUCCACUCCUUCAGGUGGGACUUCAAUGAGAUUCAAAGCCUCUUGAUGCCACUGAGGUUAAUAUUGCUGGUGGGUGGGUGAGGGUUUGUAAGAGAGAGAAAAGGGGAUAGGUGAGGCCUGUGAGCUAUGAACAAGAGAGGAAGGAGGGUGUGGUGGGGGUUGUGUGCUGUGAACAAGAGAGAGAGGGUAGGGUGGCAUUGUGAAGACGAGAAUGGAAGGUAGAUUGGUGGGGUGCUGCAACCAAGAGAGAAAUUUAGGACUUUUUAGUAGGGAGGGUGGAUGGAUCCAGUGGUGGCAAAGAGGAAAGAGAGAGGGGGAUAGAGCUGCAUUGAGGAGAAGGGCAUUUUUGGAAAAAAAAAGUAAUUUUAUUGCUUUAGUUGACCCAUUUUUCUUUGACUGAAAAAAUAUUCAUCAGAGUUCUAACAAAAGGACCAAAUAGUUGACAGAAUGAAAUAACAAAGACCUUUUAAUAUGCUUUUUAAAAUGCAAGGGCCAACUAGUUAAUUAUAACAAACUACUUGGACUAUUUUAUAAUUUACUCAAAAUUAAAUGAUAGCUUCCUUUUAUUUUUUUACUUGCUUACAGGCCUUGAAUUUCCACUUAGGUGACAAAUUGACCAU